UACGUAGGGUGCGAGCGUUGUCCGGAAUUAUUGGGCGUAAAGAGCUCGUAGGCGGUGUGUCGCGUCGGCCGUGAAAACCUGGGGCUUAACUCUGGGCGUGCGGUCGAUACGGGCAUCACUGGAGUUCGGCAGGGGAGACUGGAAUUCCUGGUGUAGCGGUGAAAUGCGCAGAUAUCUGGAGGAACACCGGUGGCGAAGGCGGCAUCCUGGACCGACACUGACGCUGAGGAGCGAAAGCCAGGGGAGCAAACGGG
rnacentral:rRNA from 1 species